CUGCGAAGGUGACCUGUGAGGGUUGCUGGAGGUAUCAGAAGUGCGAAUGCUGACAUAAGUAACGAUAAAGCGGGUGAAAAGCCCGCUCGCCGGAAGACCAAGGGUUCCUGUCCAACGUUAAUCGGGGCAGGGUGAGUCGACCCCUAAGGCGAGGCCGAAAGGCGUAGUCGAUGGGAAACGGGUUAAUAUUCCCGUACUUGGUGUUACUGCGAAGGGGGGACGGAGAAGGCUAUGUUGGCCGGGCGACGGUUGUCCCGGUUUAAGCGUGUAGGUGUGUGUUCCAGGUAAAUCCGGUUCACUUUAACACUGAGGCGUGACGACGAGGCACUACGGUGCUGAAGCAACAAAUGCCCUGCUUCCAGGAAAAGCCUCUAAGCAUCAGGUAACACGAAAUCGUACCCCAAACCGACACAGGUGGUCAGGUAGAGAAUACCAAGGCGCUUGAGAGAACUCGGGUGAAGGAACUAGGCAAAAUGGUGCCGUAACUUCGGGAGAAGGCACGCUGACACGUAGGUGAAGUGAUUUACUCAUGGAGCUGAAGUCAGUCGAAGAUACCAGCUGGCUGCAACUGUUUAUUAAAAACACAGCACUGUGCAAACACGAAAGUGGACGUAUACGGUGUGACGCCUGCCCGGUGCCGGAAGGUUAAUUGAUGGGGUCAGCGCAAGCGAAGCUCCUGAUCGAAGCCCCGGUAAACGGCGGCCGUAACUAUAACGGUCCUAAGGUAGCGAAAUUCCUUGUCGGGUAAGUUCCGACCUGCACGAAUGGCGUAAUGAUGGCCAGGCUGUCUCCACCCGAGACUCAGUGAAAUUGAACUCGCUGUGAAGAUGCAGUGUACCCGCGGCAAGACGGAAAGACCCCGUGAACCUUUACUAUAGCUUGACACUGAACAUUGAGCCUUGAUGUGUAGGAUAGGUGGGAGGCUUUGAAGUGUGGACGCCAGUCUGCAUGGAGCCGACCUUGAAAUACCACCCUUUAAUGUUUGAUGUUCUAACGUGGACCCGUAAUCCGGGUUGCGGACAGUGUCUGGUGGGUAGUUUGACUGGGGCGGUCUCCUCCUAAAGAGUAACGGAGGAGCACGAAGGUUGGCUAAUCCUGGUCGGACAUCAGGAGGUUAGUGCAAUGGCAUAAGCCAGCUUGACUGCGAGCGUGACGGCGCGAGCAGGUGCGAAAGCAGGUCAUAGUGAUCCGGUGGUUCUGAAUGGAAGGGCCAUCGCUCAACGGAUAAAAGGUACUCCGGGGAUAACAGGCUGAUACCGCCCAAGAGUUCAUAUCGACGGCGGUGUUUGGCACCUCGAUGUCGGCUCAUCACAUCCUGGGGCUGAAGUAGGUCCCAAGGGUAUGGCUGUUCGCCAUUUAAAGUGGUACGCGAGCUGGGUUUAGAACGUCGUGAGACAGUUCGGUCCCUAUCUGCCGUGGGCGCUGGAGAACUGAGGGGGGCUGCUCCUAGUACGAGAGGACCGGAGUGGACGCAUCACUGGUGUUCGGGUUGUCAUGCCAAUGGCACUGCCCGGUAGCUAAAUGCGGAAGAGAUAAGUGCUGAAAGCAUCUAAGCACGAAACUUGCCCCGAGAUGAGUUCUCCCUGAGACUUAGAGUCUCCUGAAGGAACGUUGAAGACGACGACGUUGAUAGGCCGGGUGUGUAAGCGCAGCGAUGCGUUGAGCUAACCGGUACUAAUGAACCGUGAGGCUUAACCUUACAACGCCGAAG
rnacentral:rRNA from 1 species